GGGAGACACACGGCGGGUGCUAACGUCCGUCGUGAAGAGGGAAACAACCCAGACCGCCAGCUAAGGUCCCAAAGUCAUGGUUAAGUGGGAAACGAUGUGGGAAGGCCCAGACAGCCAGGAUGUUGGCUUAGAAGCAGCCAUCAUUUAAAGAAAGCGUAAUAGCUCACUGGUCGAGUCGGCCUGCGCGGAAGAUGUAACGGGGCUAAACCAUGCACCGAAGCUGCGGCAGCGACACUGUGUGUUGUUGGGUAGGGGAGCGUUCUGUAAGCCUGUGAAGGUGUGUCGUGAGGCAUGCUGGAGGUAUCAGAAGUGCGAAUGCUGACAUAAGUAACGAUAAAGCGGGUGAAAAGCCCGCUCGCCGGAAGACCAAGGGUUCCUGUCCAACGUUAAUCGGGGCAGGGUGAGUCGACCCCUAAGGCGAGGCCGAAAGGCGUAGUCGAUGGGAAACGGGUUAAUAUUCCCGUACUUGGUGUUACUGCGAAGGGGGGACGGAGAAGGCUAUGUUGGCCGGGCGACGGUUGUCCCGGUUUAAGCGUGUAGGUGUGUGUUCCAGGUAAAUCCGGUUCACUUUAACACUGAGGCGUGACGACGAGGCACUACGGUGCUGAAGCAACAAAUGCCCUGCUUCCAGGAAAAGCCUCUAAGCAUCAGGUAACAUCAAAUCGUACCCCAAACCGACACAGGUGGUCAGGUAGAGAAUACCAAGGCGCUUGAGAGAACUCGGGUGAAGGAACUAGGCAAAAUGGUGCCGUAACUUCGGGAGAAGGCACGCUGACACGUAGGUGAAGUGAUUUACUCAUGGAGCUGAAGUCAGUCGAAGAUACCAGCUGGCUGCAACUGUUUAUUAAAAACACAGCACUGUGCAAACACGAAAGUGGACGUAUACGGUGUGACGCCUGCCCGGUGCCGGAAGGUUAAUUGAUGGGGUCAGCGCAAGCGAAGCUCCUGAUCGAAGCCCCGGUAAACGGCGGCCGUAACUAUAACGGUCCUAAGGUAGCGAAAUUCCUUGUCGGGUAAGUUCCGACCUGCACGAAUGGCGUAAUGAUGGCCAGGCUGUCUCCACCCGAGACUCAGUGAAAUUGAACUCGCUGUGAAGAUGCAGUGUACCCGCGGCAAGACGGAAAGACCCCGUGAACCUUUACUAUAGCUUGACACUGAACAUUGAGCCUUGAUGUGUAGGAUAGGUGGGAGGCUUUGAAGUGUGGACGCCAGUCUGCAUGGAGCCGACCUUGAAAUACCACCCUUUAAUGUUUGAUGUUCUAACGUGGACCCGUUACCCGGGUUGCGGACAGUGUCUGGUGGGUAGUUUGACUGGGGCGGUCUCCUCCUAAAGAGUAACGGAGGAGCACGAAGGUUGGCUAAUCCUGGUCGGACAUCAGGAGGUUAGUGCAAUGGCAUAAGCCAGCUUGACUGCGAGCGUGACGGCGCGAGCAGGUGCGAAAGCAGGUCAUAGUGAUCCGGUGGUUCUGAAUGGAAGGGCCAUCGCUCAACGGAUAAAAGGUACUCCGGGGAUAACAGGCUGAUACCGCCCAAGAGUUCAUAUCGACGGCGGUGUUUGGCACCUCGAUGUCGGCUCAUCACAUCCUGGGGCUGAAGUAGGUCCCAAGGGUAUGGCUGUUCGCCAUUUAAAGUGGUACGCGAGCUGGGUUUAGAACGUCGUGAGACAGUUCGGUCCCUAUCUGCCGUGGGCGCUGGAGAACUGAGGGGGGCUGCUCCUAGUACGAGAGGACCGGAGUGGACGCAUCACUGGUGUUCGGGUUGUCAUGCCAAUGGCACUGCCCGGUAGCUAAAUGCGGAAGAGAUAAGUGCUGAAAGCAUCUAAGCACGAAACUUGCCCCGA
rnacentral:rRNA from 1 species